CCCUUAGACGUUCUGGGCCGCACGCGCGCUACACUGACCAGUGCAACAAGCAUCCGUCCUUGGCCGACAGGCUCGGGCAAUCUUUGAACGCUGGUCGUGAUGGGGAUAGACUUUUGCAAUUUUUGGUCUUCAACGAGGAAUUCCUAGUAAACGCAAGUCAUCAACUUGCAUUGAUUACGUCCCUGCCCUCUGUACACACCGCCCGUCGCACCUACCGAUUGAAUGGUCCGGUGAAUGAUUCGGACUUCCGCGUUGCUAGCUACUAGUUUCGCGGAAGAAAGUCUUGUGAACCUUCACUUAGAGGAAGGUGAAGUCGUANCA
rnacentral:rRNA from 1 species